rnacentral:rRNA from 1 species
GAUGAACGCUGGCGGCGUGCCUAAUACAUGCAAGUCGAGCGAACAGACGAGGAGCUUGCUCCUCUGACGUUAGCGGCGGACGGGUGAGUAACACGUGUAUAACCUAUCUAUAAGACUGGGAUAACUUCGGGAAACCGGAGCUAAUACCGAAUAAUAUUUUCAUCCGCAUGGUUCAAUAUUGAAAGACGGUUUUGCUGUCACUUAUAGAUGGAGCCGCGUCGCUUUAGCUAGUUGCUAAGGUUACGGCUUACCAAGGCGACGGUGCGUAGCCGCCCUGAGAGCGAGCAGUGCCACACCGGAACUGAUACACGGUCAAGAUGACUAUGAGAGGCAGCACUAGCGAAUCUGCCACAAUGGACGGAAGCCUGAUGCGCCAAUGCCGCGUGAGUGAGGGAGGUCUUCCGAUCGAAAGACUCUGUUUUUAGGGAUGAACACAUGUGUUCGUAACGAUGCACAUCUUGACGGUACCUAAGCAGAAAGCCACGGCUAACUCCGUG